rnacentral:lncRNA from 1 species
CUUUAAUUGAUUCUCUUUGGAGAUACAUUAAAGAGAUACAUUGUUCUAUCCCAAAUAAAUCUCUUGUAAAUUUUAGAGCACAUUUCAAGACUUUUUAACCUGCAAAAACUAUCUCCCAGUGAGUUUAACUUGCAACUUAAGAUAUCAUAGAGCAGCCCCAACCAUUUCUCUGCGUGCAUUUGAAUCUCUUUCUGGCCACUAACGAAGUUUUGUUGUAAUUGUGGGUAAUUGUUGUUGCUGCAGCGGUAUUCUCUCUGUUUUUUUUCUCUUGCUGUUUUUUUUUUUUGGCUUUUGGGCGCUACAAAUUUCCAAACCCACUAGAGGCACAUUUGAACUGGCGCACGAUCGCAAAAAGACAAAGCGCAGAAGAGGGAAAAAAGAAGGCAGCAAUUGUAACAUCAACAUGAGAUGUGCCCUGGCUCCAAAGGAGCAACGUGCCACAAGACGCUGCCGUAGCUGGAUCGUAGCUGGAGCUGGAGCUGGAGUCUGUCUCUAAGGCUGGGUCUCUGAGUCUGGAUCUGGGCUUGUGCCUGGCUCUUUUGCUACUUUGACUUGUCGCUCGUUCCAAAACGUCGAAUGCGUCUAAUUUCUUGGCUUGCUUUUGGGCUCUAUUUUGUUUGUUGUCUAUUUUGUUUUUGUUGGGAAGUUCUCUCCGCCUUUGAAUGUCGUGUCUUGGCUUCAGCUUGGGCUUCAACUCCAACUCCGUUCCGUUCCGUUUCGAUCCAUUCCAUUCCCCCAAUGUCUGGUCUGUGCGCUGGCUGCCGCGUUUGUCGUUUAAAUCGUACCACCACAGGCGACAUAAAAAUAAUGAAGUGUGCGGGUGUGGUCGACUCGCUUUUGGUCUGGU